AGCUGCAGAGUCACGAUUCUGAGCUUCCACGCGAGCCAGCAUCAGCAAGGCGCAAGAAGAUGUUUGCCAGAGCUGCUUUGGGAAGAGGCAGGAGGGGCUGGAGUUCUGCAUCUUGCUCUUGACCAUCUCAACAAACAAGCGUCUCUUUAACACAGAAAAGACAGCGACGACGACAUUUAGUUUAGACGUGUACUGCCUUCUGGGCCCAAGACGGAUGGGCUCUUCUCUAUGUAAGAUUUACUGAUCUGGAAUGUUGGGCCCUUUGGGGGAUCGGGCAGAGAGUGACAUAUGGCUUGCAGUAGGGGGUGCUGUUUUGGGGGUUCAUUUGCUGCUCUGGGAUCUCUGUUUAGAUCCUAGCUAGGAGGAGACUGGCAGGCUGAGGGGUCUCACAGGAGGCAAAAUGACUUCUGCUGGCAGCAGGCAGGGCCUUGCAGAACGGGAGAGCAGAGGGUGUAGGUGUCCCUACCGUAUAGGUGUUAAAGAGACCACAGUGGCUACCCUGUUCCUCAGGUAUUGCCUGUUGGGAAGCCCUCCACACCCCAGCCUGGCAUGCUGCUCUGACUCAGAACACCACUGUCUUCCAGACCCUACACCUUAGGGGUAGAAAGGCCGGAAGAAAGACCCUUCAGAAGUAGAGAGGGUACCACGGUGACAGAGGGAGCUGCGGCUUCCUGUUCGGAAGUUAGCAGGUAAACGGAGGGUCGGCUAGGGAAAGGGAAUUCCCAGAGAGCUCUGAAAACCCGGUGCCUUACAGAAACUCAUGCCUUCAGGGCUCUGGGUGUAAGAAAAGGAGGAGAAACGGGGUAAGCUGUGAACCAGGAGCCCGAGUCCUUCCUGCGGGGCCCGAGAAGCUGUGGUUUAUGGAUGGAUGGUGGGUCUUGCAUUCCUGUCUCGAAAGUUUCUCAGAGAAACUAGAAAUCCAGCACACUGAGAUAGUACUUAAAAAGUA
rnacentral:lncRNA from 1 species